rnacentral:rRNA from 1 species
UACAGAGGGGGCAAGCGUUAUUCGGAAUUAUUGGGCGUAAAGGGCGCGUAGGCGGCUUUGCAAGUGACGGGUGAAAGCCCCGGGCUCAACCUGGGAAUUGCGAUGGAGACUGCAAGGCUUGAAUCUGGCAGAGGGGGGUAGAAUUCCACGUGUAGCAGUGAAAUGCGUAGAUAUCUGGAGGAAUACCGGUGGCGAAGGCGGCAUCCUGGACCGGCAUUGACGCUGAGGAGCGAAAGCUAGGGGAGCAAACGGG